AGAUGGAUAGUUCAGUGGUAGAACAGUAGCUUUUCAAGCUGUAUAUGUGGGUUCGAAUCCCGCUCCAUCUU
rnacentral:tRNA from 1 species